UACAGAGGUCUCAAGCGUUGUUCGGAUUCAUUGGGCGUAAAGGGUGCGUAGGUGGCGGGGUAAGUCAGGUGUGAAAUUUCGGAGCUUAACUCCGAAACUGCAUUUGAUACUGCCUUGCUUGAGGACUGGAGAGGAGACUGGAAUUCACGGUGUAGCAGUGAAAUGCGUAGAGAUCGUGAGGAAGACCAGUGGCGAAGGCGGGUCUCUGGACAGUUCCGUG
rnacentral:rRNA from 1 species